rnacentral:rRNA from 1 species
CCUUACAUGCAGUUCGAGCGAGGCGGCCCGCAAGGGUUCAGCUCGCAGCGGCGCAACGGGNUGCANCUANCGCGCUGGAUAACCGUGCCCAGAGGUGGGGGAUAACCCGGGGAAACUCGGGCUAAUACCGCAUGAUACCGAAAGGUCAAAGGGGGCUCGUAAGGGCUCUCGCCAUAGGAGGGGUCCGCGUCCGAUUAGCUAGUUGGUAGGGUAAUGGCCUACCAAGGCGACGAUCGGUAGCCGGCCUGAGAGGGUGAUCGGCCACACUGGAACUGANACACGGUCCAGACUCCUACGGGAGGCANCAGUGGGGAAUUUUGCGCAAUGGGCUAACGCCUGACGCAGCAACGCCGCGUGGAGGAUGAAGGUCUUUGGAUUGUAAACUCCUGUCAGCAGGGAAAAAGCAAAUCGGCCUAACACNCCNGUGAGUUGAUUGUACCUGCAGAGGAAGCCCCGGCUAACUCUGUGCCAGCANCCGCGGUAAUACANAGGGGGCAAGCGUUAUUCGGAAUUAUUGGGCGUAAAGGGCGCGUANGCNGCUUGGCAAGUGGAUGGUGAAAUCCCUCGGCUUAACCGANGAACUGCCGUCCAAACUGCUUUGCUUGAGACCGGGAGAGGUGAGUGGAAUUCCCAGUGUAGCGNUGAAAUGCGUANAUANUGGGAGGAACACCAAUGGCGAACGCGGCUCAUUGGACCGGUACUGACGCUNAAGGCGCGAAAGCGUGGGGAGCAAACGGGAUUAGAUACCCCCGGUAUUCCACGCUGUAAACCAUGAGUGCUUUGNUGUACGUGGUAUUCNACCCCCUGNUGUGCCUAAUUCAACACC